GUUCACUCUUUGUGCGGCGCGGCGCAGGCCGGGGCGGCGGCCCGGCUGCUUUGUCCUCGCCGGGUGGGGACGCAAGGUCCCGGGUGGGUCGAGGUGGAGGGGUUGGGGAUCGUCAGUGCUCUUGUCCCCUCCCCGAGCGUCCCGCACUCACCCUCCGGAACUACUGCGGGCCGUCCGCAGCUAGCUUGGGCCGAUCGGCCUCGGAUAAAGGUCGCAGGUCCCCGAGGCCGCAGAGGCGACAACGCACAGAGCCAGGCUCACGCUCUGUGGCCCGGGGCUGUAGCCUCCUGGGCCACCCUUCUUCAUGUUUGUUAUGGUGUGGCGGAGGCCGCCAGGCUCGCUGGAGCAGGGGGAGGCUGGGUUGAAAGGAGGCCCAGCGGUGUUGGGUUACCGGCGGUGAGUCACAGUCCCCUCCAGCCGCCGAGGCCCUGCAGGCCCCCAGCUCCGGCACGGUCAGGGCAGGGCCCUCCUGGAGCAACCGCGGAGCCUGGAAAGUCCCCGAGAGGGAUGCUUCGGAACCCCGGCUCUCUCAGGGAGAAAGGCGGAGUCAGGAACGAAGGGAGGCUCGAAGGAGGAACCCGGCCCUUCUCCAGGGCUCCGAUCUCCCGGGUGGGAAGACCGACCAGGAAGAGCAUCUGGUGUAGUCUCCAAGUACUGGCACUUCCUUCUGCAGCCCUCAGGUUCCUCCCGCCCUCCAAAUUCCUUCUGACUUCACUCUUGUCUACUUCUCACCUUACACUGGACUCUAGCAACAGCCUGUCUUCUCGAGACGCCCCUCGCCCCCACCCCUGUUGUCAGAGUCAUGGCCUGAAACACACCCAUUGUCGGCCCUCACUCCUCCGCUCAGUUCUGGACUUGAUAAUGGUCUUAUCUCCAAACUUUAUUUACUUAUCUUACUGAUGCCUGAAACCCUCGGCCGGUCCCUGCCUACCUUAAAAGCACUCACAUAAGACAAAAAAACGCAAAGACCAUGCCCCAGUCUAUUCGUUCCACUAGCCCUUUCAGGGACACCCUCUCCUUCCCCUCCCCCUCCCCAUUCCCCAUCCUGAAACUGUAGGCAGCUUUUAAAUGGUCUGUAGACAUCCCUGCAUGUAGAUUGAGAGACAAGUUGGUGGCCUGCAGGGAGAGCUCCCACCCCCACCGGAUUGGUUGGAUGACUUAAUCUCUUAAGACUUUCAUUUGUUCUUCAAAUAUGCA
rnacentral:lncRNA from 1 species